rnacentral:rRNA from 1 species
UACGUAGGGUGCAAGCGUUGUCCGGAAUUAUUUGGGCGUAAAGAGCGUGUAGGCGGCCAUUCAGGUCAGCUGUGAAAACUCGAGGCUCAACCUCGAGACGUCGGUUGAAACCGUUUGGCUAGAGUCCGGAAGAGGAGAGUGGAAUUCCCGGUGUAGCGGUGAAAUGCGCAGAUAUCGGGAGGAACACCGAUGGCGAAGGCAGGUCUCUGGGCAUUAACUGACGCUGAGGAGCGAAAGCAUGGGGGA